UCCGAGUUGUCCCCGGCAGUCUCUUAUGAGUCCCCGGCAUUACCCGCUGGUAACAUAAGACAAGGGUUGCGCUCGUUGCGGGACUUAACCCAACAUCUCACGACACGAGCUGACGACAGCCAUGCAGCACCGUCUCACAGAUUCUCCGAAGAGCACCCCUCCAUCUCUGGAAGGUUCCUGUGGAUUUAACCCAGGUAAGGUUCUGCGCGUUGCGUCGAAUUGAACCACAUGCUCCACCGCUUGUGCGGGCCCCCGUCAAUUCCUUUGAGUUUCAGCCUUGCGGCCGUACUCCCCAGGCGGGGCACUUAAUGCGUUAGCGCCGGCCCUCGGGGGGUCAAUACCCACAGCACCUAGCGCUCAUCGUUUACAGCGUGGACUAC
rnacentral:misc_RNA from 1 species